UUGAACUUGGGAUAAUUCACUUGGACUUUUCAAAGUUGAUUUCAAGUGAGUUUGAAGUUUGACCUUUCUUUAUUAUUUUAAUUCAAGUUUUAUUUUAAAUAUUAAAAAUGCCAAAAAUAUUUUAUUUGUUUCUUGACUUCUAAUCUUCAUUUUGCUUCUGUUUCCUAUUUGUUUGACCUUGGUCCUCUCUAUCUUUGGUCAAUGCUUGUUGAUUAAUACAUGCCAUUUCCAUUAAUG
rnacentral:lncRNA from 1 species